rnacentral:lncRNA from 10 species
UCAAUGCAAAGACUGGGCCGCAUGAAGCUCCGGAUUUCUGAAGGCGACAAGAUGAUCUCUAAGAUUCCUUCCAAUGUUAAUCACAUACAAAACACCUGAAUCAAUCCCUCAGAGGUUCAUCAACUUCUGUGGGUUCUAUAGGAUAUGAACAGAAGCAGGCAGAGGAUGAAGCUGAUGGUGUGCAUGGUCACUGUGCUCCUGCCCAUUUUUGAGCUUCUGGAAUACAAGCUGUGCCUUUGCCUGGAAUGUCCCUCCCAGUCUGACUAGGCAUCUUCUGAUGGGGUUUGACCUGGUUGCUUCUAACACUAGGAUGGACCUCUUGGCAAUCUCUGGAUAUCUUUCUGUGGUUUGUUAUAAUGGUAAUUAUUACUUAUCUGGCUGCUUCACAUUGAUUAAUUAGUGGCGGAUAAGAAAACCAGAUGGCUAGCUGUGUUGUAACGGAGCUACAUGAUCUCUAUCCUCUAAGGUUUUCUAGUGAUUCUUUUUCAGGUUUUUUUAUGUUUUGUUUUUGACCUUAAAUAUAGACCACAAGGGUGUAGAGUGAUACGCAAAGCAGAACUCUUGAUUUAUAUUUUCUCCUCAAACUUUCAUCUUCCCCAAUUACCCACAGUGCAUGGUAAUACCAUCCAUUUAAUUUCUUAAGACAAAAAAGCCUGGGACUUAGCAAUUGAUCAUGAGUCUGUCUUUCCCUAGACCCAAGCCAUCAGCAAGUCCUAUCCAUUCUACCUGCAUGGCACCCCUCAAAUUCAUCUUCUUCUCUCUACCUCCAUGGUCCAGGUUCCCAGCAUUCUUGUCUGCACCGCUAACUCUUUAUUUUUAUUCUCCGUUGUCCAGCAAGUGAUUGGAAUCAUGUUUUAAGACAAAUUUGAUCAUGUUGCUCCUUUGCUCAAAGAUGCCCAAAUGGCUCCCUGCUGCACGUGGGAUAAAAAGUCAGGCCUUUACCUUGGCCCUGGAAGCAACACUCUGGCCCCUGCUAACUUCUCCAACUUCAGUUGGUACCAUUCCAUUCUCCACUUCUCACUGUGCUUCAGCCACACUAGCGCUCUUUUUGUUCCUUGAACUGGGCAAAUCAUUCCAUUGCCAGAGCUUUUUCAUCACCUGUUUCCUCCCUUUGGAAUAUGCUUCCCUCCAGUCUUCACAUGGCUGACUCACCUGUACUUUCAGAUCUUGAAUUAAAUGACACCUCUUCAGAGAAGCCUUCCCUGACCACUCCAUUUGGAAUAACAUGACCUCCCUCCCCUCUGUACACAGAGUCUUACUCUCUCAUAUCAUCUUGUUUCAAGUUCUUCCCAACAUGCACCACCAGAUUUUCUAUUUGUUGUCUCUCUUCCCCCAGUCAGAAUGAACUCUAUCAGAGCAGGAACCACUGUGGCUCCAGCACCUAGACAUACAAUAGGCUCUCAAAAUGUUUGUUGAAUGAAUGAAUAGAUCAGUCAAUAGUAACCUAAGAAUAAACUGAGAGUCAGGCAUCCUGGGUUCAAAUCUUACCUGGCUGCUCUCAAGCUAUGUGACUUUGAAUAUGUCAUGUGUGGGCUCUGGGCCUCCCUCUCAAUAUCUCUAAAAUGAGAUCUGAUUUAAUGAUCCCUAAAGUCCUUUGCAGCUUUCAGAUAUACUCUGAUCCUAUCAGCCGUUCAAUAUUGUUGACCAUAAAAAAUGGUCAAAGACGCUGAUGACAGCAAUGACCCCAGCUAUAGUUGAACUAUUUUUUAAUCCCAUGAGACAUCCCAGGCUACAUUUUAUUUAUGAUUUAUAUUUAAGUAUCAUAUCCAAAAAGUAUUUGAUGCAGCUCAAGUUUCAGACCCACUUCCCCAAAGAAGUCCUUACUUGCACCAUUUAUACAGGGAGAAGAAGAAGCACUCCCAUCUAGAUUGCUGUAUCAGAAUGGACUGUUAUGAUUGCAAAUGGCAGAAACCUAACUCAAUGCAACUAUAACAAUGAGGGAAAUGUCUUGGCAGCUCUUGAAAUCCAUGGAAGAACAAAAUGAUCCAGGUGCUGGAGGGACAGCAACAGAGCUGGACCUCAGGUGCUGCUGGAGCCAGAGGCUCAAUUUUCACUAGUCUUCCUUCCAGCUUCAUCUCUGUCUCUAUCAGUGUAUUGAUAUUCUUCUCUCUCAAUACAGCCUGGUUCUUUCCACAUAGUCCCAGCGCAGCAUUUAUCACACUCUGUAUUAACUUAUUUAUUUGUUUUCUUGCUUACUUUCAGUCUCUCAGUACAAUAAAAUAUGUUGAAGGCAAAAAUCCUAUGCAUUUCUGUGUCCCUUGCACCCAGUGAAGUGUCUGGAGCAUAGAAGAUGCUCAAUAAAUAUUAAUUGCAUAAAUCAGUGGUAGAAAACAUAGCAACCAACUUAUUCAGUGUUUAAUAUCCAACAACUUUAGUUCCUGGAAAAAAGCUAACAAAACUCUCUAGGGUUCUGCUCAAAAAAUAAAAUGAGUUAAUGAGAAAAACAAGUAAAAUCUCAGGGAAGGGACUUAUUUGUCCAGCUAGGCCAUAUGCUUACCCUUGGACCAAACAGUAGUAACUAUUGCCUGUGAUAAUGUCUUUGCAUCUAUGUGAAGCAGGGGAGGAGAAUCUUUUAGAAAAAGGUCAUAGGAGGAAAUCCCAGAGGAGUCAACACACUCACAGAGUUGUUGUGGAGAUCAAAUGAGCCAUUGCAGAAGAGGGUGCUUUGGAGAGCUAUUAUGAAGUUCCCAUUUUUGUAGGUCAAAAUUGAUCAAAUAUUGGCAAUUUUAUAUAUUUCCACUUAAUGUAAAAGUGUUAAAGAUGUUAUAUGGAUGUAAAAUAUGACUAAUUUGAUUUCAAGUCAGCAGAAUAAGAAAAGAAAACCAUGUUUUUAAGAUGAAGGGUUAAGUUGAUUCCCUUUUAUAAUGAUGGUAGCCGAAUAUGGUUAGCAUGUGCUAGCUUUAUGGGGAGCAGUGCUACAUGGGUUAUCUCAUUUUUUUCUUCCAACCCUUCCAUGAGAUAGGUACUAAUAAUUACAUCCCCAUUCUACAGACAAAGAAACUAAAGUUUCAAUGAGGUUAAACUAUUUGCUCCAGAUGACACAGUUCAAAAAG